ACAUCUUGAGCACGCAAGAUGUUCACUGAUGCAGCACUGGUUUUGAAAGCCUCAUUAUAGUCAGAGACUUAAACAUUUUUUAUGGGAGUAGGUAUGUGUAACCUGCCAAUUGCUUAAGAAUGCUCUUGUAAUGCUCCUUCCUUCACUGCUUGUAGCGAGGAAGGAGCAUUACAAGAGCUUUUAUUACCUAAAUCAGCAAGUGAGGGCAGAGGUACUGCUGUGCACUGGCACAGUAACUGCUGAAGCAAGAAUCUCCCGUGCACUCUGGUACAGCGAGAGGUAAAGUUUUUGAAAGCAAGACAAAUGGGCUACAUUACAUCUUCUGAGCAAAUAAGUCUGAGCAACAAUUUCAGUCUCUAACUGCUGGAUUUUAUUCAAACAGUGCAUAUUUUCAUUUAUACUUAACAAAAAGCACAGACAAGCUGUCUCCUGACUUGAAAGGCACAAUUUAGAACAUGGAAAGACAGGAUACAGACACACUCCUAAAGGCAAUACUCAUAAUACAUCCCAGGAUGUACAGCGAUACAGCAUGCACCCAUCUCUCCAGCUCAGGGGGCCUCUUGCCUUUCCAUCAAUGGGAAGUCUCGUUCUCCAUUGUUGUCUAUGCUGUGCAAAUGCUCCUCCUUCAAACGGUCCUGCUUAUGUUCAUAAGGUGCAUCCAGUGAUUUUCCAGUGAAUCCAGUGAUUCACGUGGCUCUGUGGAAAACAGAAAGCUCUGGUUACUUUCAGAGCUGUACAGUCUUUGGAAGAUGCAGCAAGCAUGAAAGAAACAGCCCUGUACUGCCCGACCUAUGCACUGACAGCUUUUUUGCCCAAGGAAGCCCAGCUGCUAGUUGUUCGGAAUUACACCUGCAUUUACCGGUCUUCGUCUAUCAAUCUCGGUAUCCCCUUCACGGCUCAUCAACCUGAAACCUCUGUGCCGCUGUGGAUCGUCCCGUGUGGCAGCAGCAGCCUGCAGACUCGGGCCGAGUGUGAGAGCGGUCAGGCCGGAGGUGAUGGACCCAACUGCGAGCCUUUCGUUUCAUACUGAGCGGAACAACGCGGCACUCGGCUGAGAC
ensembl:lncRNA